GGCUGAGAACCACUUCUCUGCACAGCUUCCAACCCUCCAGACAAUCAAAGUGUAUCUCGCCGAGUUUCUGGGACUGGAAAGGAACCAAGAAGAGCCUGGGGUGGCAUCUCCAAAGCUGGAUCUCAGAACGUUUCGGGAAUCGAAGGAGGUAGAGGCAUGAAAUUCUUGGUAAGGCACGUGGCACUGACACACCUAUAAGGGAUUCUUGUUAUAACCAUCGAUUCUCCCUAAAAGGUUCAUUCCUCUUUGCACGAAAAGAUGCCUGAAAGAACCAUCACCGAACACACGGCAGGAUGUCAAGCCCGCCCAUGCCUCCUGGGCAGCCAGAGAAGCCGGACUGCUACCACUGCCGGAUUUCUACUCCCACCCCCAGGGGGAGAGUCAGCUAUGGACAGGCAGUGUCAAGGCAUGGGGUAUAAAUUCUAGUGAAAAAUCCCAAGAGUACCUACUACCCAGAUCAACACCCAGAGGACGGCACCAGGAGACACGAUUCCUGAAAUUCCUUCUCCGCACUCCUCAGAGGAGGGAAAAAAACCUGAGUUGGUGAUAAUUCUGUAAGCUAUGUUGCUCUUGUCAAAUUAUUCAACAUCUGUCUUCAUGUUCCCACAAAAAUUAGCAUAGGAUAGUAGUUUCUGAUGACACCUUUAGUGAAAUAUUUUGACUUCCACCAGUAAGUUGCAAACAACCUGUCUUAAGGAUAAUGUCAAUUCCCACUCCUGCAUAUUAAAUAAUCCAGGGGUUUGUUGUGUUUUUGUAAGGGAGAGGAGUCCCACCCACCUGCCCCUGGCUGGAAGUCCUGCAGCUAUAAGAGAAGGAAAAGAAGCUAGGAUGGAGGAGGGGGUAUUCUCUGAUGCUAUCCACAUGCAGGAUGCCCCUCUUCCAUCACCUGGCUACUGCAUAUGCCCCAGAAGUAGGCUUUUGGGGGCCAGCCCACCCCCCUGCCCUGCCAGAAAGAAGAUUACAGGAUCCACCCCAGAGCACAACCAACUGGGCCAGGAGAUUGGGAGGUGGGGAGGGAAGAGAGGACCAGCUCCAAAUGGACCAUCUGGUCUAGUACUCGGCUGCUGUAGCAUCUGUGCCCCAAAGAAGAGCGAAGCCACCUGGCCAGACUGAGAGCACCUCCCUAGUCCUACCGCAGACAGUGGACCUCAGAGCCGGCACGAGGACCCUCAGAGGGAAGCCGGGCAUAGGGCUCCGGGCACCUGCCUCCCUCCAGCCUCAGCAGAGACUCACAGUCCAGGCCAGAUCCAGUCGAGUUUGCCCUCCACAUCCUCCUCUUCUUCCCUCUCCUCAAUUCAGCUUCCAUGUCAGUCGGCCCCUCUCUCAGCCACAGAGGCCUGGGGGCAGAGUGGAAGGGGCUGGGGUUCCCUCCC